rnacentral:rRNA from 1 species
UACGGAGGGAGCGAGCGUUGUCCGAAGUUACUGGGCGUAAAGGGCGCGUAGGCGGGAAGCUAAGUCCGCUGUCAAAGCCCGGGGCUUAACCCCGGAAGGUCGGUGGAGACUGGUUUUCUUGAAGCUGCCAGGGGGAGAUGGAAUUACCGGUGUAGCGGUGAAAUGCGUAGAUAUCGGUAGGAACACCAGUGGCGAAGGCGGUCUCCUGGAGCAGACUUGACGCUGAGGCGCGAAAGCUGGGGGAGCGAACGGG